UUUAUCCUCACAGAUAACCAUGGUUAAUAAAUGGUCAGACACGUCACUGGCUUUAAAAUAUAAACCCCAUUGAUGCAAAACGAUGCUGCAUGGAAUGACAAUGUGGUUUGGAACAGACUUGGUGAAGAACACGGAAACAUCUCUUAAUAAAAUGGCCCCAAACAUCAUCAGGAGUGCAAAAGAAGGAAGUAAAAAACAUCUCUACGCCAAUCUCAUUGGAGAGGAAACCACAGAAGGUCUGGUGAGGAAUGCUGCUGUUAUUGCAAGCAUUAUUUCAAGAAAAUCCCAGCUUCCUUGACUGUGUAAAUAGUGAACCCAAAGGUCCCACACCAACCAUAGUGUUCAACGGCUCUCCUGAUCUUCUCAAAUCUGAAAGUAUCAACUUUAUAAUGGACAAUGUGAACUUAAUAUGUGGAAGACAUUGACAUCACAGGCUGUGGAAUGACUGUGUCACAGGUCGGAGAAGCGGACCGCCCCUGUCGCGGAGCAUGCUCCUCCUAGUUCCACCUCGAGGAGGUCCCAAAGCACCCCAAUGACCAGACAAACCAGAGAUAAGUAAAAUAUAGAAAUAGAAACUUUAUUUAAAUUAUUUAAAACUAAAGUGGGGAAUGAGAAAGGGAAUCUAAAAAUCUCGCUUCUUGCCCUCGCUUCUUUUUUUUCUCCUCAAUGUUCAAUACCCUUUUGCCAUUAAGCACACAGUGACUUUAAUUUAUAAAAUAUAUGCUUAAGUUUUAAUACCUGUACAAAACAAAUGUACAAUCAACUUGUGUAAAUUGUCAUUCUAUUAAUAGAUUGUUCAUGAAUUGUCUUUAAAUGCAUUGUGAUUUCGGUAACACUUUACAAUAAGGUUCAUUAGUUAACAUUAGUUAAUGUAUGUGAACAAACCAUAAGCAAUACAUUUGUUACAGUAUUUAUUCAUCUUUGUUAAUGUUAGUUAAUAAAAAUUUAAGCUUUAAUUGCUUGUUCAUGUUAGUUCAGAGUGCAUUACCUAAUGUUAACAAGAUUUUAAUAAAGUAAUUGUUGAAAUUAACAUUAACAAAGAUUAAUAAAGGCUGUAUAAGUGCAGUUCAUUAUUAGUUCAUGUUAACUAAUGUAGCUAACUAAUGUUAACUAAUGAACCUUAUUGUAAAGUGUUACCGUGAUUUCUUUUCAUCAUUUCAGACACAUGUAAAAGUUACUAAAAAUUAGUACUGCAUAUACUGUACAGUAUCUAUGCGUAAGGGAAAUAACUUGAACAAAAUUUUUAAUGUAUAGUGUAAUUAAGAGUUUAGCUGUUUAAUACAGAGAUGCAAUUUAUUUAUAUAUAUUAUUUAUAUAUAAACGUAUGUAUGUUUAUUAAAAAGUGAAAAUGCUUAAUGGAAAUAAUUAAAUAACUAAAUGGUUGAAUGUAAUGAGACAUUUUAAAUGUAAACUAAAGUUUUGCUGUCUAAUACAGAAUAAAGAGAUGUGAUUUUAAGUAA